GAUGAACGCUAGCGAUAGGCUUAACACAUGCAAGUCGAGGGGCAGCAUGGUCUUAGCUUGCUAAGACUGAUGGCGACCGGCGCACGGGUGCGUAACGCGUAUGCAACUUGCCUCACAGAGGGGGAUAACCCGUCGAAAGACGGACUAAUACCGCGUACACUCCAUCUUGGGCAUCCAAGGUAGAGGAAAUGAAAUUCGCUGUGAGAUAGGCAUGCGUCCCAUUAGCUAGUUGGUGAGGUAACGGCUCACCAAGGCGACGAUGGGUAGGGGAACUGAGAGGUUGAACCCCCACACUGGUACUGAGGCACGGACCAGACUCCUACGGGAGGCAGCAGUGAGGAAUAUUGGUCAAUGGGCGAGAGCCUGAACCAGCCAAGUCGCGUGAAGGAUGACUGUCUUAUGGAUUGUAAACUUCUUUUAUACGGGAAUAACAAGAGUCACGUGUGACUCCCUGCAUGUACCGUAUGAAUAAGCAUCGGCUAACUCCGUG
rnacentral:rRNA from 1 species